UACGUAGGGCGCAAGCGUUGUCCGGAAUUAUUGGGCGUAAAGAGCUCGUAGGCGGCCUGUUGCGUCCGCUGUGAAAGCCCGGGGCUUAACCCCGGGUCGGCAGUGGAUACGGGCAGGCUAGAGGUAGGUAGGGGAGAAUGGAAUUCCUGGUGUAGCGGUGAAAUGCGCAGAUAUCAGGAGGAACACCGAUGGCGAAGGCAGGUCUCUGGGCAUUAACUGACGCUGAGGAGCGAAAGCAUGGGGAGCGAACAGG
rnacentral:rRNA from 1 species